rnacentral:lncRNA from 1 species
CUUUAAACCGCGGCGCCGCGGCGCCCGGGUGUGGAUCCCUAGAUGGGAGCCGGGGAUGGGCCGGGUGCCUGGUGGGUGGCAGUCGGGGCUGACGGCGGCGGCACUUUGCCGCCUCAGGCCCUGGACACCUUCACCCCGCCGCCUGCCCAGGCGGGCCGGCCCUGCCCGUCCACCGGCCGCCGAGAGUCCCCGGCCUUGGGUCCCCGGGGCCGCUGACUGGCCUCGGUCACCUCCCGGGGAAGGCUCCCGCGCCUCCAUCUGCCCCCGCAGGAAGGGACCCUCUUCUCGCCCGCGAGGCUUCUCCGGGUGGGAUCGUCCUGGCCCCCAGCCCUAAGGGAUCCGCCCCCUCCGAGCAUCCGCCGCCCCUCGGAGACCACUCCAGCUCGGACGGACCCACUCCAGCCCCCGCUGCACGCGGAAGCGCUCAUCCUCCCCGCCUGCCCCGUUCCCUCCCCCUUCUCCUGUGGGACAACCAGGGACCGCAGCUCCCCGCUCCCCAGGUGUGGGGGCUCCGACACGAACGCCUCUGCUCGCAGGGCGGUGAGCGCAGAUCCCACGGGUCCCUCGGUCGGGGGUCGAGGCUGCUUCCGUUUCCAUCCCGGACCCGACAAUGGGCGGGAAAAAGAAGGCUUUACACGACUACGCGGCGGAGUUCACCGACCUGGUGGUGAAGCACCUGAUUGAGCACAGUGACUCUGGGGACACGUCUGUGGUGGAGACCCUUUACUGCAGGGCCUGCGAGCUGCCCGUGCGCGUGCGGAGGGACCGCAUCCUGGAACACCUGUCCUCGGGCAGGCAGCACGGCCUGCGGACGCCCAUUCUCAUGUAAAUGUCAGUGCCAACGCUGGUGUUUCAGGAGUCAUCCCAGCGGGCUGCGGGCUAUUUUAGGAUUCUCUGCCCUGCAAACGUUUCCAAAGUACGUGGACAGGCCGCCUGAUGACACUACGUUUACGGGAUCUGCUAGUGGCUUGCCUACUUAGGGAGUAAACCCUGUGAAGUCUCGCAGUUUUGUUAAAGUGUGCGUGGCCACCUGAAUGCUGCCUUAUCACAAGCCAGAUACAUACUGGUCUGUAGGGUAACUCCCCACUGUUGAUCCUCUGAGAUGAUUGUGGACUGGGUGCUGUGAGUCCUGCCACUUUGUUUAAGUGAAUGUGUCUUUUGUCCAGCUCAGCCGCCUCGGAUCUCGCUGCCACCAGCCUUACUGCACACCCGUGCCACCCGCCCUUGCCCCGUCAGCCUCAGCCUCAGCUCAUUCUCUCAGGCAGUCCCAGCAUUGGCACGGUACCUCCUCCCGCUGUGGGCCACACGUCUCUGCUCCCUGUCAACCCUCCUGCCAUCAGCACCACCACCAGCGACUUGUCUGCCCGGGAGGAUGCAACACCAUCUGCCUCCACCGGCCACCUUUCAGUGUUUCCUGCUUUCCAAGUAAAGAUACCAGCAGUGCCCUCAGAGCAGACCAGCCAGAGUUUUUCUGAAGCCUCCCACAGGGUGCUCCCCGGAGGAGGCCCGAGAUGCUCUCGUGACUUUGGAGCCGGGGUGGCUGGCCACCUUGGCCUGGGCAUCUUUGGGGUGGGCUUCGGGAGCCCGGCACUGCUGCAGAGUGUGGUGGAUGAGAACAGCUGCUGCUUGCUGUACGUGGUGGAGGACCAGCUGUGUGAUGUGGAGCAAGCCUUCAGAGCUGAGCAUUUGGGCCAACACCAGAGUGGUUCGGGAACAGGAUGCAGACAUUGUCCUCAACGACCAGCGGCACUUUGAUCCGGUUUUCCAGUUCUUGCACAAGCAAGUUUGUGUCAGCCACGCCCUGGGGAGGAUCCACUGGAUCACCGCCGUCACUGCCUGUUCCCGGCGGCCUCUCCGGCUUCCCUAAAGAGAGCAGGUGGGCAUCUGCG